rnacentral:rRNA from 1 species
GAUGAACGCUGGCGGCGUGCCUAACACAUGCAAGUCGAGCGAAAAGACGAGGAGAUUGCUCUCUUGACGUUAGCGGCGGACGGGCGAGUAACACGUGGAUAACAUACUUCUAAGACUGGGAUAAUUUCGGGAAAAAGGAGACAAUACCGGCUAAUACAUCCAACGGGAUGGAUCAAUAGUGCUAGACGGCUUUGCCGUUUCUAUUAGACGGAUUCGCGCCGCAUUAGCUAGUUGGUAAGGUAACGGCCUACCAAGGCGACGAUGCGUAGCCGACCUGAGAGGAUGAUCAGCCACACUGGAACUGAGACACGGUCCAGACUCCUACGGGAGGCAGCAGUGGGGAAUCUUCGACAAUGGGCGAAAGCCUGACGCAGCAACGCCGCGUGGGUGAUGAAGGUCUUCGGGUCGUAAAGCUCUUUUGUUGGGAAAGAACAAAAGUAUAUGAAACUAUGCACGUCUUGACGGUACCUAAUCAAUAAGCCACGGCUAACUUCGUG